rnacentral:tRNA from 1 species
AAGGGUUUAAGAUAUUUUUAAUCUAUAUACCUUUUAAGUAUAUAAAGCUAUUGCAACUCUUC